rnacentral:rRNA from 1 species
GAUGAACGCUGGCGGCGUGCCUAACACAUGCAAGUCGAACGGAAGGACAAUAAGCUCGUGCUCUUGAUGGUGGCGGAGGGCGGGCGGGUAACGCGUGGAUCAUAAUCUUCUUUUUCGGGGAUAAUAUCGUAAAAAAGGUUAUAAUAACACAUCAUAUUAUGUACCGCAGAGAGCAGAGGAGAUUGACGGCUUUCCUGUUUGAAUUAGCCGGGGCCGCAGUAGCUAGUUGGGCGGGUAAGGGCCCACCUAGGCGACGAUACGUCGCCGGGCUGAGAGGAUGAUCGGCCACACUGGAACUGAGACACGGUCCAGACUCCUACGGGAGGCAGCAGUGGGGAAUAUUGGGCAAUGGGCGCAAGCCUGACCCAGCCAUACCGCGUGAGUGAUGAAGGCCUUCGGUUCGUAAAGCCCUGUUUUUGGGAAAGAACAGCUGUAGGAUAAUCCCCAACGGUCCUGACGGUACCUAAUCAAUAAGCACCGGCUAACUACGUG